AAUAGUUAAAUAUGUAACAUUAGUAUGUCAAACUAAAAUUAUUAAAUUUUUAGUAUUUUUAA
rnacentral:tRNA from 1 species